AGAGUUGAUCCUGGCUCAGAACGAACGCUGGCGGCGUGCCUAACACAUGCAAGUCGUACGAGAAAAUCCGCUUCGGCGGGUGAGUAGAAUGGCGCACGGGUGAGUAACGCGUGGAUAAUCUGCCUUUAAGCUGGGAAUAACUCACCGAAAGGUGGGCUAAUACCCGAUAAUGCUAUGGGACUUCGGUUUUAUAGCCAAAGAGAGCCUCUACAUGUAAGCCUUCACUUAAAGAUGAGUCCGCGUACCAUUAGCUAGUUGGUAGGGUAAUGGCCUACCAAGGCGACGAUGGUUAGCUGGUCUGAGAGGAUGAUCAGCCACACUGGAACUGAGACACGGUCCAGACUCCUACGGGAGGCAGCAGUGAGGAAUAUUGCGCAAUGGGGGCAACCCUGACGCAGCAACGCCGCGUGAGUGAGGAAGGUCUUCGGAUCGUAAAGCUCUGUCGGGUGGGAAGAAGUGUGCAUAGGUUAAUAGCUUGUGCACUUGACGGUACCGCCAAAGGAAGCACCGGCUAACUCCGUGCCAGCAGCCGCGGUAAUACGGGGGGUGCGAGCGUUGUUCGGAAUCAUUGGGCGUAAAGAGCGUGUAGGCGGCUAGGCAAGUCAGAUGUGAAAGCCCUGGGCUCAACCCAGGAAGUGCAUUUGAUACUGCCUCGCUAGAGUACGGGAGAGGAAAGUGGAAUUCCUGGUGUAGAGGUGAAAUUCGUAGAUAUCAGGAGGAACACCGGUGGCGAAGGCGACUUUCUGGCCCGAUACUGACGCUCAGGCGCGAAAGCGUGGGGAGCAAACAGGAUUAGAUACCCUGGUAGUCCACGCCCUAAACGAUG
rnacentral:rRNA from 1 species